AACGAACGCUGGCGGCAUGCCUAACACAUGCAAGUCGAACGAGACCUUCGGGUCUAGUGGCGCACGGGUGCGUAACGCGUGGGAAUCUGCCCUAGGGUGCGGAAUAACUCGGAGAAAUCCGUGCUAAUACCGCAUAAUGUCUUCGGACCAAAGAUUUAUCGCCCUGGGAUGAGCCCGCGUAGGAUUAGCUAGUUGGUGGGGUAAAGGCCUACCAAGGCGACGAUCCUUAGCUGGUCUGAGAGGAUGAUCAGCCACACUGGGACUGAGACACGGCCCAGACUCCUACGGGAGGCAGCAGUGGGGAAUAUUGGACAAUGGGCGAAAGCCUGAUCCAGCAAUGCCGCGUGAGUGAUGAAGGCCUUAGGGUUGUAAAGCUCUUUUACCAGGGAUGAUAAUGACAGUACCUGGAGAAUAAGCUCCGGCUAACUCCGUGCCAGCAGCCGCCGUAA
rnacentral:rRNA from 1 species